UCGUAACAAGGUUUCCGUAGGUGAACCUGCGGAAGGAUCAUUACCGAGUGUAGGGUUCCUAGCGAGCCCAACCUCCCACCCGUGUUUACUGUACCUUAGUUGCUUCGGCGGGCCCGCCAUUCAUGGCCGCCGGGGGCUCUCAGCCCCGGGCCCGCGCCCGCCGGAGACACCACGAACUCUGUCUGAUCUAGUGAAGUCUGAGUUGAUUGUAUCGCAAUCAGUUAAAACUUUCAACAAUGGAUCUCUUGGUUCCGGCAUCGAUGAAGAACGCAGCGAAAUGCGAUAACUAGUGUGAAUUGCAGAAUUCCGUGAAUCAUCGAGUCUUUGAACGCACAUUGCGCCCCCUGGUAUUCCGGGGGGCAUGCCUGUCCGAGCGUCAUUGCUGCCCAUCAAGCACGGCUUGUGUGUUGGGUCGUCGUCCCCUCUCCGGGGGGGACGGGCCCCAAAGGCAGCGGCGGCACCGCGUCCGAUCCUCGAGCGUAUGGGGCUUUGUCACCCGCUCUGUAGGCCCGGCCGGCGCUUGCCGAACGCAAAUCAAUCUUUUUCCAGGUUGACCUCGGAUCAGGUAGGGAUACCCGCUGAACUUA
rnacentral:rRNA from 1 species